CCUGUCGGUACUGUAGCAGCACAGAAUGGUUUGUGAGUUAUAACGGGGGUGCAGGCCGUACUGUGCUGCGGCAACAACGACAGG
ensembl:miRNA mir15a-1 microRNA 15a-1